UUGGUGAUUGUUGGGACAAGUUUGGCAGGAGCUUCAGUGAUGAAGAUUGCUCAACUUGCUGAUGUUUCGCAAUAUGCGAUGGCUGUUUCAGUCAUCAGGUCUCAACCCAAUUCAACACUUAUGGAAGAUUCUGGAGAAGCGCCAUCAACAAAACACCAAAUGGUGGAAUUUCUUGUGGAAGAAUGUCACAUCCUUCGAAUAGAGUUCUAGACACUUGUAGAAUAUAUGCCAAGGAGCACUAUAAAGAGAGAGGGAGUGGGAGAGAGAACAGGCAGAACCUGAUAUGUAAAUGAGUAAAGCAAAUGAAAGGAACUUUCGACGACCAAAUGAUCAUUCCAGACUCUGCUUCUGUUGAGAGAGAUAAAAGGGGUCAGUGCUCUAAAAUGAGUCUCUCAUUGGAACAUGACACCACAGCUAAGAGUUUCACCACAAUACCUACCUGUUUCAAUACAUGGAGGCAAUAUCCCUGAUGUUACCCGUGCACAUACAGAUCUCCUGCUUUUAGGUAGGUUAUACUUAAUGUCUCUCUCACACACAUUCACCCUUAACCAAACAAAAAGUUUUCACUUUGGGUUCAUGAUUAAUCUUCUUUUGCCAAAUAAUUUAUAAACAUAGCAAACAAAGUUGGUGAUAAGGCGUCGCCUAUCUGUACGAUAUUCAUUAACACGCACACAAGCAAUUGGUACUGUAACGGCAUUCUUCCUGGGAAGGAGAGGAGGACCAAAAUGCAGCGUGGUUAAAGUUCAUGGUUCUUUAAUAAGAGAAACUAAACAUGAACAAAAUAGAAAACAA